CAGCAACAAAGCAACGGCAGCCGGUUUUUUACCUUCAGUUAAGACUCUCUUUGGCCUCAGAAGUUCUCGGAUAUACUAACAGAAAGAAGAGCUCUGAAUCACUCGAGCUGCGAUUUGAUGAUUUCUGCAUAUGUUUUGCAUCCAAAGCUAAAGUUCUUCAAGCACCACUGAAAACAUUUCUGCUUCUUGUCCAUAAUGGGACAACACAUAUCAGCAAAAGAAACAGCAAUCUCAGGGUCCGAGCCUGUAGCCAGCGCGGCGGCCCUGAGCUUAAUGAACACAGGAAGUGAUUCGAAUGCAAAGCGUUCAUCUCACUUCAUCAGCUAUAACAUCUUGAAUAAUAAAAGGUUGCUGCAGCUGAUCCAAGAAUUUCAACACCCGGACUCUAACCAGUGGAGCAUCCAAAGAUUUGAAGACUUUUAGAAACGACUGAGCACUCGGAUGGAUUUAUUGUUAUCCUUUAGCGUGUAAUUUAACCUUUAUAUCCUUUGGUCUGUUGGCUGGUGUGAGUGACUUUAGUGUUAUAAAGAUAAGCAGCAUGACAAUAUCAAGCCAAGGACAAAGAACAAAGCAUGAACACAAACAUGAAGGAAUCACUUUAUUACAUUAUUAGUGUUAUAAUCAUUUAUUCUUCAGUGAUGGUGCCGUCACGAUUACAGACAGGUAUGCAUCGCUUAAUGAGUAGAAAGUUAUGCGAUUUGGAUGUUGUGCAACGUACAAAUAUGCUAUUAAGGAUUCCUAAACAUCUAAGCUACACAUACACUACUUAAUUUUAGAUAAUGUAUCUGUCAAGGUAACAUAUAUUUUAAGUAGGUUAAUAUUCCUACUACUAUACAAUAAUGUAUACCAUGUGUACGUGUAAAUAUUUGGACAUUUAAAGGUCCAAAUAUUUUUUUUAAAAGUAUGAUAUAAAUCAGAUUUUUUUAUAUUUUUUUUCUGUACAUGCAAGGAACACCAGGGGGCGCUGACAUAAACAUGUUCAGAUGUUGUCCAACCGGUCCUAAUGUGAUGCAUAUCUGUAGUUUCACCCUCUUUCAGUUCUUUCUUUUUUUUUCGUCUUUAGGGUGAAAUAAUUUGUGUCUAAAUAGUGUCUAUAAUUUGUUUUAUAACGAAAUGAUAAAAUUAAACAAUGCACAAACACUGAUAGCUGUGCAUAUACUCAUAAUUUAUGGGUACGGUGGGGAUGGUAAUCCCAGAGUAAUUAAAACCAAGUAAUUGGCAAAAAAACAAACAAAAAAAAAACAGAUUGCUGGGUGAGAGUGAUUUGCAUCCAACUCAUCCUCUGCAUACGGCAGUAACUGCAGGUCAUACACAAUAAAACAGGAAAAGUAAAAGUCCAACAAACAAUUAUAAAGCAAAAGACUUUUUGUUCCAACAAAACGUAUGCCUUUUGCUAAUAGUGGCUUAAACUAAAUUAAACAUUAGAAAUUAUGUGCUGUAAUACAAAUGUAAUGAUUUUAUGUUAUUUACUUGCACUUUGUGGGGUAUGUAGAGGAUCUGUUCUGUUUUGGUGUGUCUUCGUCGUGAAAUUAAUGUAAAACAACCUAUAAGUUUACAUACAACUUGGCAAAAUAUAUUUAAACUCAGUUUUUCCUGAUUUUUGACAUUUACCCCCGAGUAAACAUUCCCUGUGUUUGGUCAUUUAGGAUCACAACUUUAUUUUAAAAAUGUAAAAUGUCAGAAUCAUAUACGAGAUAAAGAUUUAUUUCUUUCGUCAUAUUCCCAGUGGAAGUGAAAGUUUACAUAGACUUUAUGUAAAUUAUUAUUUAGUUAAAUUGUUUAUUUUGGGCUUAAUGUUUGGCCAGAAAGUCAAAUAUUUAUUUUGUCCGAACAGAGGACAUUUUUCAAAAGAGUAAGAUCUUGAUCCCAUGUGCAGCUGCAAACCAUAAUCUGGUUUUUGGCCCGUUUUGGGGCAGUGGCUUCUUUCUUGAGGCUUUGAAUUUACAUUAAUAUCAAUCUAAUUUUAUUGUGGAUAUAGAUAUUGUUGUAUCUGUUACCUUCAGUGUCUUCACAAGGUCCGUUGCUGUUGUCCUGGGAAUGGUUUGUACUUUUUAUAGCAAAGUAUGUUCAAGUCUAGGAGACAGAAUGCGUCUCCGUAACGUGAGUUAUGAUGACUGUGUGGUCCUACAGUAUGUAUGUAUAUUUGCAUGGGAUUGUUUGUACAGAUGAACAUGAUACUUUCACUAUCUUUUUUUUCUUGGAGGUCUUGGCUGAUUUAUUUUGACUUUUCCCAUGAUGCAAAACAAGAGGUUCUGACUUAAUUUUAAGUUACGGUCUGCCAGCUUACAGUGUCCCUGGAGCAGAUAGGGCCAGACAGUGGCAACUUGGUGGGCUUGAACCCCCGACCAUCUGGUCAGUAUCCCAGCCUUAACUGUUUGAGCUACUAUUGCCCUAGAUGGCCUAACCGACUUAUCAAAACUAUAAUUUGUUAACAUUAAAUCUGUGGAGUGGUGAAAAUUUCAUUUUUUAGACAUCAAACUUAGUGUAUGUAAACUUCUGACUUCAAUUGUAGCUGCUUUAAACUCACUAAAGAGUUUAAAUUAUAUUUUUUUCAAGUAUUAUUUCAAAUUUUUUAUAAGUUUGUUGUUCUUUUAAAGUGCAUGCCGUAAAAUACAGCUAAAAAAGGUCUGCCCUUUUUCUAUUUGAUUCUAUUUAAUAUUUGUAUAAUUCUUUAUACUGUAGCUGUACAGUAAAUGUAAGCAUCACUGUUGAAACUCUGCACUGUUCCUUAUGAUGUGAAACAGAUUAUGCAUUUUAUAUUUAUAAUUGUUGUGGAAACUAUAUUAAAUAAAAUUACAUUGGAAAUGUCUUAGAAAGCCACUGCUUUGAAAAAGUUGUCAAUAAAUAAAUUCAGCACCUUUGACCUUCUUUUACUUUUAUUCUUUAUUUAUUGUAAUGAAUUUAAACAUAGCAGCUAAGCCAGUGAAAAUGAAGUUACAGAAAAGAAAGAAAAAAAAAAACAUACUGGUUUACCCACAUACAAUUGUAAAUGAAAACAAAAUGUAUCCAUGCAUUGAAAGAAUGUGCAGAAAACUUUUUUUUUUUUUUUCAUAUUUAAAUGCAUUAUUUGCGCAUUUUUUGCUGAGUAUUAAAAUGUAUGUAUACUGUAAAUGCAAUUAAAGCCCAUUUCUUUGCAAAUUUCUACUAUGGUGUUGUAAUGCAUACAAAUACUCUUUGUAGUUGUUGUUGUGUAAUAUUUAUUUAGGUUUCUAUUACACCUUGUACAGUAUCUAGGAGAGUAGUGUUAAAGUGUUACUAAUGGUAACAGGAUGGUCGUGUCAGAUCUUGUCUGGAAAGGGCUGGUGUAGUGGGUGCGGUGUUUACAAUCUAACCAAGCAGGUGCCACAGGUGCUUGCCAAGCACUUGACAGUCUAGCGACAGCCAAGAAUGGCAAAUUAAACAGGUGUGGCUUCUGCUUGGUUGGAAUGAACACUUUAUCUUGUCUUCUUGCUGUCUUGUGUUUAGUACUUAGCUUGUUUUUUCUGUUAAUUUAUGGUGUUACAGUAAUUUGUUUUGUCUCAGCUAAUUACAUGGCUGACUUCGCUAGUUAGUUUUGUUAAUUUAUGUUGUAUGUAGCACCUGGUUCAGGAGGAACAUUCUUUCGUUUCACUUUGUAAUGAACUGUAUAUGCUUGAACUGAUAAUAAAAGCCUACUUG